GGGAGGCAGCAGUGGGGAAUCUUGCACAAUGGGCGAAAGCCUGAUGCAGCCAUGCCGCGUGAAUGAUGAAGGCCCUAGGGUUGUAAAAUUCUUUCAUCAGGGACGAUAAUGACGGUACCUGAAGAAGAAGCCCCGGCUAACUUCGUGCCAGCAGCCGCGGUAAUACGAAGGGGGCUAGCGUUGUUCGGAAUUACUGGGCGUAAAGCGCGCGUAGGCGGACUAUUAAGUCAGAUGUGAAAUCCCGGGGGCUCAACCUCGGAACUGCAUUUGAAACUGGUAGUCUAGAGGCCAGGAGAGGUUAGUGGAAUGCCGAGUGUAGAGGUGAAAUUCGUAGAUAUUCGGUGGAACACCAGUGGCGAAGGCGACUGACUGGACUGGUACUGACGCUGAGGUGCGAAAGUGUGGGGAGCAAACAGGAUUAGAUACCCUGGUAGUCCACACCGUAAACGAUGAGUGCUAGUUGUCGGCAGGCAUGCCUGUCGGUGACGCAGCUAACGCAUUAAGCACUCCGCCUGGGGAGUACGGCCGCAAGGUUAAAACUCAAAGAAAUUGACGGGGGCCCGCACAAGCGGUGGAGCAUGUGGUUCAAUUCGAAGCAACGCGCAGAACCUUACCUACCCUUGACAUGCCCGGUUUGGUCGCCAGAGAUGGCUUCCUUGAUUCGUUCGCCGGUGCACAGGUGCUGCAUGGCUGUCGUCAGCUCGUGUCGUGAGAUGUUGGGUUAAGUCCCGCAACGAGCGCAACCCUCAUCCUUAGUUGCCAUCAGGUUUGGCUGGGCACUCUAAGGAAACUGCCGGUGGCAAGCCGGAGGAAGGUGGGGAUGACGUCAAGUCCUCAUGGCCCUUACGGGUAGGGCUACACACGUGCUACAAUGGCAGUGACAAUGGGAUAAUCCCUAAAAACUGUCUCAGUUCGGAUUGUCGUCUGCAACUCGACGGCAUGAAGUUGGAAUCGCUAGUAAUCGUGGAUCAGCAUGCCACGGUGAAUACGUUCCCGGGCCUUGUACACACCGCCCGUCACAUCAUGGGAGUUGGUUCUACCC
rnacentral:rRNA from 1 species